ACACAGUAACAUGGUUUCCAGCAGAACAUAGGCAAAGCAAAAGUUUACAGGAUUCAUCAUUAGGAGAGAGGGAGGCUGAAGACUGAAAUUGUAAAAGGAAAACAUUAAACAUUCCCUGAGUGAAAGGUAGGGGGACCCCACUCACUUAGGGAACAGCUGUGCCACCUCUCCAGACUCUGGCUCAGUCCAGACAAAUUCCAUGGGUGAGGCGGACAUGAAGGCAUGGCCCAUGGUACUUUAACUAUGGUGGCUGUCCCUGGCUUGCCCACUCUCUUGCUGUCCAAUCACAUGCAGUUCAGUUCUCCCAAGAAAACUGCAGGCGCGAUUGUUCUCCACUGAUUGUCUUUGUUGCAGUCCUUGAACUCUCAAGGUUGCAGAAGUUGCUAGGGUUCUAACUGUCGAAGUGAAUCGUGUUCCUCGGUGUCGAGGGUCAGCAUGCACUGUUUCUUUCACAGAACAUCAUUAACAACUAAAACAAAGGAAAGAUCAGACCGGGUGUGCGGCUCAGGUGACAAUGGGGUUCCUGUUCAGGUCAGUUUCCUGCUCUUCCUACCAAACUGGUCAAAGCAAUUAAAUGUGUGAACUGUGUUAUUUAUGAGUUUCCAGGGCUGUAAAAGUCAUGUCUGUGCUAAGAGACCAAAAAUACAUAUCCCUUGAACACCACAGCAAACACCCUCUUCUGUCAAACAAACAGAUAUUCUCUUCUCCAAAGUCAAAACCUCCACCAACUCAGAAAGUUAGCACAGGACAGAUUUCUCGCAGGGAGUGCCUCUCUAGGCAGGUGAGCCAUGCAUGGGGCCCAGCGACAAUUGCCGAUUGUGAUUUAUUAGUGGAGGAAAAUUUGGAAUUGGACUUUACCGUUGGGAUUUACUUGCACUUGAAAGCAAUGCAGUUAGCAGUCCAUCUUUCAACACUGAAUGUAUUUUUUCUGCUUUUAUAUCUUUCUGAUGAAUUAAGCGCUUAUGUGAGGUGAGGGAUUGAAAACACUAGCAGCCUAAUCUCUCAGUAGAUCUGCUUGCCAGAAACAGCUGUAUGGAAAAACACGGGGACCAAUUUUACAUUGUUUCUCCACCAAUUCAUACCAGCCGUGAGCUGUGAUGCUCCCACCAAUUCUACAAUGGGUGGAUAAUAAGAGUUCCUUGCCCUCCAGUUCUCCAAGCUGUUUUGAAGAAGGCCUGCUAAUUGAAUUCAGUUGUUUGCAGUUUUAAAUGUUCAUGCUUUCCACAAAACAAGAAUAUAUUAAACUUAUUUCAUCUGUCAUCCAGGAAGAAUUGGAGCCUGCAUUUUUAUUACCAACUGACUUGUGUGUUCAUCUUUAUCCCAGAUUUUUUUUUGAAGUGUUUACAAUGUAAUUAAAAACAAUCAAGUCAAAUGAUGUAUUUGAAUUGUUCCCUUCGGGGGAAGAUAAAGGAGGAGAAAAGAUAGCUACAAUUGCUUCAUUUUUGCUGAGUAUUUCGGCCUUCUCAACAGAAAUACAUCAUGUAUCUGCUCACCAAGAGCGUUUUGUAAUGUCACUAGUGAUUUAACAAUUACAAAAUAUUGUAAUUAAAUGUUCGAAUGCUC
rnacentral:sRNA from 1 species